rnacentral:lncRNA from 1 species
GGAUCUAACUCCAAGUUUUUCUACUACUUAUCCCAAAAUGUCACCAUCCACCCUAGCCAAGCCACGUUAUAACCCUAAAAGACCUCUAAAGUGUGUGCACAAAGUGAACCGAAUGAAUUCUUAGACUACUUGCAAAAUUAUUGUUGACUUGCAUUGAUGUGUUGAUUUGAGUGAAUUACCAAAACUGAAGAGUGUAUGUGAGUAGUGUGAUGGGAUCUUAGAGUCAUGGUUGAAAAGUG